rnacentral:lncRNA from 1 species
AAACUUAUCUGUCAAUGUUUAAUUGCAUCUCCCUUAGUUACCAAAAUAUAAUAGAUCUAAGAGAAAAAACCUACCCCCUGCACCCAACCCUCCCCUAUUUCAUCUUCUUCAUAAUUUCUUCCCCAAAAAUUCAUUGAAGAAGAAAAAAGAAGUAGAUUAGAUAAUGAAAUAGGAAAGGGAAACAACAAAUGCAGUAGGAUUGAAUCUGAAGAAAUAAAAAAAAAAAAAGAUAGCGAAUGGUGAUUGGGAGUCAAAAAAGGAGAUUAAAUUGGUGGUUUUUUAUCAUGUAGCCAAUAUUAUGGUGUAACCAUAGAGAAGAAAUGUAUUAAGAGGCUACAAAAUUGGCUGUGAGAGACGGUGAUCUAUCAUCGUUGAAAGGUGGUGGUAGCUUUUGGAUGAUGGAAGCAGUCGGUGGAUUCUCAAAAGUUAUACUAAUAAUAUGUGAACAUUGAAGAGGUUUUCAUUAUGCAUUAUGUGUGUGAUGGAUGUAACUUCUUUCUAAAAGAUUCAAUUACAGAAUGUGGUUUUCAUGUAGAAAGGAAUUUAGAAAGACUACUUGGAGGGGAGAAGGAAAAGCUUUUCUUUUUUGUUGAAUUUUAUUUUCCAUUAAAGUUGAAAAAUUAUUUUCUUUUGUUAUUUUGGAUAACCAUGUAAACAGUAUCAUUAACAAUCCAAAAUUGAUACACUUAAAAAGCAUUCAUCUCCAAGACCACUUUUCAAAAAGAGGGGCCCAUAUGGUUGCGGAUCACUUGGCGAAAUUGGCCAACGAAUAGUCAAGUUCUCUACUCUUUUUAGUAUUUGGAUUUUAGUGUAGGGUAUAUUAUUAAUCAUAUGAAAUCCUACUUCCAUCCAUUAGACUCGGAUAUAACAACGCAAAUUUUUUUAUAAGCUAAUUUACUUGUUUAUGGAUGUGCAGGGGCUAGCCUGUAGAUUUUAAUUUCCUAAGCCUCCUUUUACAAAGGAUAAAUUCUUUAUCAUUGUGUUGUAU